rnacentral:tRNA from 1 species
GGGGCUAUAUCUCAGUUGGUAGAGUGCCUGCCUUGCAUGCACAAGGCCCUAGGUUUAAUCCCCAGCACCACCA